UACGGGGGGGGCAAGCGUUGUUCGGAAUUACUGGGCGUAAAGGGCUUGUAGGUGGCCAACUAAGUCAGACGUGAAAUCCCUCAGCUUAACUGGGGAACUGCUUCUGAUACUGGAUGGCUUGAGUUUGGGAGAGGGAUGCGGAAUUCCAGGUGUAGCGGUGAAAUGCGUAGAUAUCUGGAGGAACACCGAUGGCGAAGGCAGCCUCCUGGGCUAGUACUGACGCUCAUGCACGAAAGCGUGGGGAGCAAACAGG
rnacentral:rRNA from 1 species